rnacentral:rRNA from 1 species
CCUACGGGCGGCUGCAGUGGGGAAUAUUGCGCAAUGGGGGAAACCCUGACGCAGCAACGCCGCGUGAGUGAUGAAGGUUUUCGGAUUGUAAAGCUCUGUCUUCUGGGACGAUAAUGACGGUACCAGAGGAGGAAGCCACGGCUAACUACGUGCCAGCAGCCGCGGUAAUACGUAGGUGGCAAGCGUUGUCCGGAUUUACUGGGCGUAAAGGGUGCGUAGGCGGAUAUCUAAGUCAGAUGUGAAAUCCCCGGGCUUAACUUGGGGGCUGCAUUUGAAACUGGAUAUCUAGAGUGCAGGAGAGGAGAAUGGAAUUCCUAGUGUAGCGGUGAAAUGCGUAGAUAUUAGGAAGAACACCAGUGGCGAAGGCGAUUCUCUGGACUGUAACUGACGCUGAGGCACGAAAGCGUGGGUAGCAAACAGGAUUAGAUACCCCGGUAGUC